CAGCCGCCGCGGGAAUACGUAGGGCGCAAGCGUUAUCCGGAAUUAUUGGGCGUAAAGAGCUCGUAGGCGGUUUGUCGCGUCUGCCGUGAAAGUCCGGGGCUCAACCCCGGAUCUGCGGUGGGUACGGGCAGACUAGAGUGAUGUAGGGGAGACUGGAAUUCCUGGUGUAGCGGUGAAAUGCGCAGAUAUCAGGAGGAACACCGAUGGCGAAGGCAGGUCUCUGGGCAUUAACUGACGCUGAGGAGCGAAAGCAUGGGGAGCGAACAGGAUUAGAUACCCGCGUGUCCCUGUCUCUUAUACA
rnacentral:rRNA from 1 species